AUUCCGAAAGAGACGGGGCGCGGCCCCCUUCGUCCUUUUUCAUCUACCCCUGUCAUCAUCAUCGUCGUCGUGUCUUCUUUUUUCGUCUUCAUCUCCUCCUUAUUCUUCGCCUUCUCAUU
ensembl:ncRNA Y47D3B.15 ncRNA